rnacentral:rRNA from 1 species
UACAGAGGUCUCAAGCGUUGUUCGGAAUUACUGGGCGUAAAGGGCGCGUAGGCGGCCUCCUAAGUCGAACGUGAAAUCCCCGGGCUCAACCCGGGAACUGCGUCCGAUACUGGAAGGCUUGAAUCCGGGAGAGGGAUGCGGAAUUCCAGGUGUAGCGGUGAAAUGCGUAGAUAUCUGGAGGAACACCGGUGGCGAAGGCGGCAUCCUGGACCGGCAUUGACGCUGAGGCGCGAAAGCCAGGGGAGCAAACGGG